CUAAUUUGUGUAAUCUGUCUACCUACCUGCCUGCCUGUCUGUCUAUUUGUUUCCCUCAGAUUCAACAUGGACCGCUGACUGCGCUGUAACUCCUCCUACUACAUCACUGAUGGAGUCUGCAAACGACUAGUGUGGAGAAGGUGAGGUGGAGGAUCCAGAUUGGGAUGACUGUUUGGCCUGUGAGGAGGGCUGUAAGAAGUACUGUAUGGCUACUACAAGAACUGCCCAGCGAAGACAUACAGCAUAGAGGAGGAGAUGACCGUGUGAUGAGAAGUGUAUUCGCUGUGACGAACACGAAUGCUACUGGUGUCAGACCGACCUCUUCUU